rnacentral:rRNA from 1 species
UACAGAGGGUGCAACCGUUGUUCGGAAUUACUGGGCGUAAAGCGUGUGUAGGCGGCCCCGUAGGUCGGAUGUGAAAGCUCUCGGCUCAACCGGGAAAGUGCAUUCGAAACCACGGGGCUGGAGUGUCGGAGAGGAAGGCGGAAUUGUCGGUGUAGAGGUGAAAUUCGUAGAUAUCGACAGGAACACCGGUGGCGAAAGCGGCCUUCUGGGCGAACACUGACGCUGAGACACGAAAGCGUGGGGAGCAAACAGG